GACGAACGCUGGCGGCGUGCUUAACACAUGCAAGUCGAACGGAAAGGCCCUGCUUUUGUGGGGUGCUCGAGUGGCGAACGGGUGAGUAACACGUGAGUAACCUGCCCUUGACUUUGGGAUAACUUCAGGAAACUGGGGCUAAUACCGGAUAGGAGCUCCUGCUGCAUGGUGGGGGUUGGAAAGUUUCGGCGGUUGGGGAUGGACUCGCGGCUUAUCAGCUUGUUGGUGGGGUAGUGGCUUACCAAGGCUUUGACGGGUAGCCGGCCUGAGAGGGUGACCGGCAACAUGGGGACUGGGAUACGGCCCAGACUCCAACGGGAGGCAGAGGUGGGGAAUAUUGCACAAUGGGCGGAAGCCGGAUGCAGAAACGCCGCGUGCGGGAUGACGGCCUUCGGGUUGUAAACCGCUUUCGCCUGUGACGAAGCGUGAGUGACGGUAAUGGGUAAAGAAGCACCGGCUAACUACGU
rnacentral:rRNA from 1 species